GACACAGGUAGUCGAGGAGAGAAUCCUAAGGUGAGCGAGAGAACUCUCGUUAAGGAACUCGGCAAAAUGACCCCGUAACUUCGGGAGAAGGGGUGCUGAUCAUACGAUCAGCCGCAGUGAAUAGGCCCAAGCGACUGUUUAUCAAAAACACAGGUCUCUGCAAAAUCGUAAGAUGAAGUAUAGGGGCUGACGCCUGCCCGGUGCUGGAAGGUUAAGAGGAGUGCUUAGCGCAAGCGAAGGUACGAAUUGAAGCCCCAGUAAACGGCGGCCGUAACUAUAACGGUCCUAAGGUAGCGAAAUUCCUUGUCGGGUAAGUUCCGACCCGCACGAAAGGCGUAACGAUUUGGGCACUGUCUCAACGAGAGACUCGGUGAAAUUUUAGUACCUGUGAAGAUGCAGGUUACCCGCGACAGGACGGAAAGACCCCAUGGAGCUUUACUGUAGUUUGAUAUUGAGUGUCUGUACCGCAUGUACAGGAUAGGUAGGAGCCGUAGAAAUCGGAACGCUAGUUUCGAUGGAGGCGCUGGUGGGAUACUACCCCUGCGUUAUG
rnacentral:rRNA from 1 species